rnacentral:snRNA from 1 species
GCGCUCCCUUCAGCAGCACAUACACUAAAAUUGAAACAGUACAGAGAAGAUUAGCAUGGCCCCUGUGCAAGGAUGACACACACAUUUGUGAUGCGUUCCUUGUUUUU